rnacentral:lncRNA from 1 species
UAGCGUUUAGAUUAUUUGCUUAUAAUGAAUUUAUAAUAAAUUGAUUGAUAAAAUGUAAUAAAAGCUUUAUUUAAGAACUAAACGUUAAUUGCUGUUCUUUCUUAGUUUUAGGUAUGGCCAAAUUCAGUAAGUCUUGGUUGUUGUAAUAUAGAAUUACAUGAAUGCGGUGACUAUAUAUUGUUAGGAAUUGCGGCUGGUUACGAGGAAGUACGAUCGCGCUAUUUUCCCGUUCAGCUUUAUCUCCACGUCGCGAUGUUGAUGACUAACAUUUAUUUAAAUGCCUACCGGCGUACGUAGGAUGCUAAAAGGGAAAGGAUGUUUAUUUAAAAAGAAAAAGAUUAUUAUUUAAAAUAAUAAAAUAUUGAUCAACAUAUUUUAUAUAAAGUAAAAUAUGAUAUAUACUGUAUACACUUGUUCAAAUUUCUAUAAAUUUUAUUAUAACUAUGUCUACAAAAAUAUUUUUCGUGAGAAUCGCUGCUCUAGAAUAAUGCUCGAAAUUACCACAAAAUACAGUAUAAUAUUUAAAAUUUCCAAUAUAUUAAAUAAAAUUAUAUUCACUUUUAUUUAUCAUAUUUGGCCCAUAUCCAUCGUUAUUGAAAUAUAAGAAAUUAUUGAUAGCAUCAAUUAUAAAAACUCUUUCAGAUGUUAAUAAAGAAGUAUAUCUAAUGAUACAUAAAGGUUGCUUAACUAAAUGAUUUUAAUUUUAAAAAUAAAAAUGUUAAUGAUACAAAUUUGCUUAUAGACUCCAACAUUAGUUUUUGAAAUUAUGAAAAAUAUUUGAAAUUCUUUUGAAUAAAUUUAUAGGCCUAUAUGCAAAAACAUUACCAGGGCCGGCCUUAGGUCCCUGGCAGCCCUAUAAUAUAAGCUGCUUUUGAAGUAACAAUGCAAAAAAAUAUGCAUAAUGGGUGGGAAAAAAUUACAUAACGAU